GAUGAACGCUUGCGGCGUGCUUAACACAUGCAAGUCGAACGGAAAGGCUCCUGCUUGCAGGGGUACUCGAGUGGCGAACGGGUGAGUAACACGUGGGUGAUCUGCCCUGCACUUCGGGAUAAGCCUGGGAAACUGGGUCUAAUACCGGAUAGGACCACACUUUGGAUGGUGUGGUGGAAAGUUUUUCGGUGUGGGAUGAGCUCGCGGCCUAUCAGCUUGUUGGUGGGGUAAUGGCCUACCAAGGCGUCGACGGGUAGCCGGCCUGAGAGGGUGUACGGCCACAUUGGGACUGAGAUACGGCCCAGACUCCUACGGGAGGCAGCAGUGGGGAAUAUUGCACAAUGGGCGCAAGCCUGAUGCAGCGACGCCGCGUGGGGGAUGACGGCCUUCGGGUUGUAAACUCCCUUCGCUAGGGACGAAGAGCAAUUGACGGUACCUGGAGAAGAAGCACCGGCUAACUACGUGCCAGCAGCCGCGGUAAUACGUAGGGUGCGAGCGUUGUCCGGAAUUACUGGGCGUAAAGAGCUCGUAGGUGGUUUGUCGCGUCGUUUGUGUAAGCCCGCAGCUUAACUGCGGGACUGCAGGCGAUACGGGCAUAACUUGAGUGCUGUAGGGGAGACUGGAAUUCCUGGUGUAGCGGUGGAAUGCGCAGAUAUCAGGAGGAACACCGAUGGCGAAGGCAGGUCUCUGGGCAGUAACUGACGCUGAGGAGCGAAAGCAUGGGUAGCGAACAGGAUUAGAUACCCUGGUAGUCCAUGCCGUAAACGGUGGGCGCUAGGUGUGAGUCCCUUCCACGGGGUUCGUGCCGUAGCUAACGCAUUAAGCGCCCCGCCUGGGGAGUACGGCCGCAAGGCUAAAACUCAAAGGAAUUGACGGGGGCCCGCACAGGCGGCGGAGCAUGUGGAUUAAUUCGAUGCAACGCGAAGAACCUUACCUGGGCUUGACAUACACCAGACCGGGCCAGAGAUGGUCUUUCCCUUUGUGGUUGGUGUACAGGUGGUGCAUGGUUGUCGUCAGCUCGUGUCGUGAGAUGUUGGGUUAAGUCCCGCAACGAGCGCAACCCUUGUCUUAUGUUGCCAGCACGUUAUGGUGGGGACUCGUGAGAGCCUGCCGGGGUUAACUCGGAGGAAGGUGGGGAUGACGUCAAAUCAUCAUGCCCCUUAUGUCCAGGGCUUCACACAUGCUACAAUGGUCGGUACAACGCGUCCCGCGAGCCUGUGAGGGUGAGCUAAUCGCUGUAAAGCCGGUCGUAGUUCGGAUUGGGGUCUGCAACUCGACCCCAUGAAGUCGGAGUCGCUAGUAAUCGCAGAUCAGCAACGCUGCGGUGAAUACGUUCCCGGGCCU
rnacentral:rRNA from 1 species